GCCCGGCUAGCUCAGUCGGUAGAGCACGAGACUCUUAAUCUCGGGGUCGAGGGUUCGAGUCCCACGUUGGGCG
rnacentral:tRNA from 1 species